GCCCUCGUGGUGUAGUGGUCAGCACGCUCGACGCGUAUUCGAGAGGUUCGAAUCCCGACGAGGGCA
rfam:Stegodyphus mimosarum contig172793, whole genome shotgun sequence.